UCAUUAGUUGUCAUAUUUCCUAACUUGCAUUUAGAAUUAGAAAAAAGAGAAGGAAAAGAAUUGUAUUCAACUAUUUAUACAUGAUAUGAAACCAAUCCAAUGCUUGGAUAAUGGAAAAAUCAAAACCCAAAACCCAAACACAGCAAGACGUGUAUUUCAGUAAACUAUUUUAUCUAAAAUUUUGUCCUCCUUUGACUUCAG
rnacentral:misc_RNA from 1 species